rnacentral:rRNA from 1 species
AAUGCAUAUGGUGAAUGCCUUGACACCAAAAAGCGAUGAAGGACGUAGCUAGCUGCGAAAAACUUCGGGGAGGUGCUGAGCAACCUUUGAUCCGGAGGUCUCCGAAUGGGGAAACCCUCUCUGCUUUAGCAGAGAAACUCUAUCUGAAUAUAUAGGAUAGGGUAGCGUACCCAGCGAACUGAAACAUCUUAGUAGCUGGAGGAAAAGAAAUCAAUUGAGAUUCCCUAAGUAGUGGCGAGCGAACGGGGAAAAGCCUAAACCAACAAUCUUCGGAUUGUUGGGGUUGCGAGGCAAUCAUACUCGUUUAAUCGGGGUGAAAAAUAAUUUGUUAGCGGAAUGUCUCUGGAAAGAGCAACCAUAGAAAGUGAAAGUCUUGUAGGCGAAAACAAAUUAUUUUUGAUGAGAUUGUUCUCAAGUAGGGCGGGACCGGAGAAAUCCCGUUUGAAUCUGGGGCCACUAUUGCUCCAAGGCUAAAUAUUUUUGGUGAUCGAUAGCGAACAAGUACCGUGAGGGAAAGGUGAAAAGUAUCCCGAUAAGGGAGAUGAAAUAGUAUCUGAAACCAUAUGCUAACGAAGAGUCAGAGCCGAUGCUUGCAUCGGUGAUGGCGUGCUUUUUGUAGAACGAUCCAGCGAGUUAGUUCUGUGUGGCUUGGAUAAGUAACUUUGUUACGCAUCCAUAGUGAAAGCGAGGCUUAACCGCCGAAUAAAAGUCUCACGGACUAGACCCGAAGCCAGGCGAGCUAUUUAUGAGCAGGGUGAAUUUAGGGUAAAACCUAAAGGAGGCCCGAACCCACCAGCUGUGCAAUACUGGGGGAUGACUUGUGAAUAGAGGAGAAAUUCCAAUCGAGCUUGGCGAUAGCUGGUUCUUCCCGAAAUAGCUUUAGGGCUAGCGUUGGGUUAACUAUGUUUCGGAGGUAGAGCUACUGAAUGAGGAUUCGCGGUUCGCCGUAGGAUUCUCAACCAAACUCCGAAUUCCGAAAUAAUUAUCCCAACAGUCAGAAAUCCGGGGCUAAGCUCGGAUUUCAAAAGGGAAACAGCCCAGAUCGCAAUCUAAGGUCCCAAAAUCUAUGUUAAGUGGAAAAGGAAGUAAGGCUUCUUAUACAUCUAGGAGGUUGGCUCAGAAGCAGCAAUCCUUUAAAGAGUGCGUAACAGCUCACUAGCCUAGAGGCCUUGCGCCGAAAAUAUAACGGGGCUCAAACAUAGUACCGAAGAUGCGAAUUCCCGUGUUUCACUAGUGUUCAACACAAUUUAAUUUUAAAUUAUUUUAUUUAAUUUUUAAGUUUUUUUGAUUUAAAAAAAUGAUAGAAAAAUAAUUUUUGUGGUGAGUAAUAGUGAAACACGGAAGUGGUAGGGAAGCGUUCCAUACGCGUUGAAGGAGCAGGCGUGAGCCACUCUGGAGUUUAUGGAAGUGAGAAUGCUGGAAUUAGUAACCGCAAUUGGGGUGAGAACCCCCAACACCGAAAGUCUAAGGUUUCCUGGGCAAUGACAAUCAUCCCAGGGUUAGUCGGGCCUAAGGCGAGGCCGAAAGGCGUAGUCGAUGGACACACGGUUAAUACUCCGUGACUUUGAUAUUAUACGAUGGAGCGACGCAUUUUAGUAGUUUUUGCCGAUUAUUGGAUUUCGGUAGGGAUACUAAGAAGGUUGAAUAGGCAAAUCCGUUCAACAAUACUUCAAGGUAUUUCUGGAAUCUCACUUUUUAGUGAGAGAACAAAAAUGAGCAAGGUGCCAGGAAAAACUUCUAAGGUUAAUAAUAUUGAAACCGUACUAAAACCAACACAGGUAGACAGGGCGAGUAGCCCAAGGUGAACGAGUGAACCUUCGUUGAGGAACUCGGCAAAACAGCGUCCGUAACUUAGGAAUAUGGACUGCCGAUUUUAUUUCGAUAAAGUUGGCCGCAGCUAAAGAUACCAAGCGACUGUUUAUCAAAAACACAAGUCUCUGCAAACCCGUAAGGGGAAGUAUAGGGGCUGACACCUGACCAGUGCUGGAACGUUAACGAGAGCGGUGCAAGCCAAUCUCCGAAGCGCCAGUGAACGUCAGCGAUAACUAUAAUCGUUCUAAGGUAGCGAAAUUCCUUGUCAGGUAAGUUCUGACCUGCAUGAAAGGUGUAACGACUUGGUAACUGUCUUAACGAAGAGCUCGGUGAAAUUGCAAUGGCGGUAAAGAUGCCGUCGACCUGCAGCAAGACGAAAAGACCCCGUGGAGCUUUACUACAACUUGGUAUUGAAUUUGAGGUUAUACUGCCUAGUAUAGGUGGGAGACUUUGAAGUUUUGAUUUCGGUCAAAAUGGAGUCAUCAGUGUAAUACCACUCUGUGUAAUUUUAAAUUCUAACCCUGGACUGUUAUGAGUUACUUAAAACUUAUAAUUGAACUGGCAAAGAACAAUAAAAUUCAAGUUAAGUUUGUAUAUAUUGUAUUUGCGGUUCAAUAAAAAUUCAAAAAAGUUUUGGUUAUUCAUACCAGUCCGGGAACAGUGCCUGGUGGGUAGUUUGACUGGGGCGGUCGCCUCCUAAAUGGCAACGGAGGCGUUUACAAAGGUUGGCUAGCUUCGGAUGGAAAUCGAAGUGAUAGUGCAAAAGCAUAAGCCAGCUUUACUGCAAGACUCAUAAGUCGAUCAGUUACGAAAGUAGAAUUUAGUGAACCGACUGUCGCAUAUAGGUGCGCAGAAGAUCAUCAGAUAAAAGUUACCCCGGGGAUAACAGGCUGAUCCCUCCCAAGAGUCCACAUCGACGGAGGGGUUUGGCACCUCGAUGUCGGCUCAUCGCAUCCUGGGGCUGGAGAAGGUCCCAAGGGUUUGGCUGUUCGCCAAUUAAAGCGGUACGCGAGCUGGGUUCAAACCGUCGUGAGACAGGUUGGUCUCCUAUCUGCUGUGGGCGUUGUUGCUUGAAAGGAGUUUUUCCUAGUACGAGAGGACCGGAAAGAACAAACCUCUGGUGUACCAGCUGUUCCGCCAGGAGCACUGUUGGGUAGCUACGUUUGGACAGGAUAACCGCUGAAAGCAUAUAAGCGGGAAGCCCCCCUUAAGAUUAGGCAACACACAAGCUUGCUUGU